rnacentral:rRNA from 1 species
UACGUAGGGGGCAAGCGUUGUCCGGAUUUAUUGGGCGUAAAGAGCGUGUAGGCGGCCAGAUAGGUCUGCUGUGAAAACUCGAGGCUUAACCUCGAGCUGUCGGCGGAAACCAUCUGGCUAGAGUCCGGAAGAGGAGAAUGGAAUUCCUGGUGUAGCGGUGAAAUGCGCAGAUAUCAGGAAGAACACCCGUGGCGAAGGCGGCUCUCUGGGACGGUACUGACGCUGAGACGCGAAAGCGUGGGGAGCGAACAGG